UAUGCUUCCCUGGUAGUGCUACAAUAUACAUAGUGAAAUGCCUUAUUAACGACCUGCAUAGGGCUGAGCCAGUGUCUCCUGCAUUGUUGCACAAUAUCAAGACUUGAAGUGUUCUUUUAAAAAAAAGGGACGGGGGAGUUGUCUGCUUGCCUCAUUUUUUUUCCACAUUAGGAAGUGAUUUUGUUUAGUCUUGGGACUUUCCUUCUGGCCAGAGGAUGGACAGAGUUCUGACAGGAAGAGGCUGAAUUGUUUUUGUGCUAACUAUUUAAUCAUACCCUUUCUUCCAGGUGUUUAGUGGCCACUAGAAUAAAACAUUCAGCCUCCCCUGCCAUUAUAAAAAUAAAGCUCCUAGUGCACAUCUUUUAAGACCCUGUUAAGCCUUAUUUUUCCCAACCAAAGAACAGACGUUAGGUUCCUGUUCUAAACCAUCACCUCCAGCCCUUAAGUAAAAAAAAAA